rnacentral:lncRNA from 8 species
AUGAUGAUGGCCUCCAUGGUUGCCAACGGAAACAGGGAUGGCAGACAGGGGGAGGCCCUGGUCCUGAAAGGGGUGGACCCAGAGACCUGCAUGAUCGUGUUCAAAAACCACUGGGCACAGCCUCAGUUCACCCCAGUGGGAGGGAGUUGGCAGGAGUCUCCACCCCUCUCAGCUACAGAGAAUAGAAUACAGUAAGGCCUGGAAACACAAACAUCAUUUACUAUAAAAUGGGGUUGGAGCUCACGUUGCUGGACGUAGAACCGUAAUAACACAGUAACAACACAGUCACACCAAGAGGCCUGAAAUUAUUAUGUUCAAUUUGUUUCAUUUUUGUGUCUCAUUUAUCAUUUUUAUUUAUUUUUAUUUAACCUUUAUUUAACUAGGCAAGUCAGUUAAGAACAAAUUCUUAUUUACAAUUACGGCCUACACCGGCCAAAGCCUAACCAGGACAACGCUGGGCCGAUUGUGCGCCGCUCUAUGGGAUAAUAUAAAUGUUAGGCCUGUGAAGUGCACUGUUAAAGGUUUCAACAGAAUCAUAUUCUGAAAUGUAGGACAUUUCUAGAUCUUUGACCCUCUCUGCAGGCAAGUUGGCACUACAAUACGGCUCCAGCCGAGUCUUAAUUGCUACAUUUUGACUAAUUAAUAGCCUGAUAGGACUGAGUUUGGAUCGUAGAAUUCCUGGAAAAGCCCAGCCUGCUAAGUAGGCACUCCCCGGGACCCUGUAUUGAGGAACACUGUUGACAUUUCAGAAAAAUAGGUAGACUUUCAUUGACAGUCAAUGGCUUCAGCCUUAUCUCUCCCUUUCCAGACCCCUGUGAAAUCACUGUCCUUUUGUUAGGAUGUCUGAGAGAGCUGGACGUUAUCCAGUCAGUGUAGUGGGUUGCCCAGGACAGGAUAAUAUGUUCUAGGCAACAGUUUGUUUCAUCUCACUAUGGUUCUAUACAGAUACCAGUACACAAAGGGAAAUAUAUUGAUUUAUCUCUAUGUACCAGUACAUGUUAUCCAUUAUCCUGACGGCUCCAUGCCUCCAUCACCUUCAUGUAUUAUUAGUCAGUCCAGUCAGGGGUUAGAAAAGACCACUUGAUCAUCUAUAGUCCUCACUGUGUUACCCAGCUAUGUCCUCAAAGCUAUUUGUUACACCAGAAAUACCCGACAGGAUUGUAGACAGACAUGAGUGAAGGAAGUGGCAACUUUAAUAUGACACCC